AGAGUUUGAUCAUGGCUCAGGACGAACGCUGGCGGCGUGCUUAACACAUGCAAGUCGAACGGAAAGGCCCGCAUUACUUUUGUGGUGGGGGUGCUCGAGUGGCGAACGGGUGAGUAACACGUGGGUGAUCUGCCCUGCACUUCGGGAUAAGCUUGGGAAACUGGGUCUAAUACCGGAUAGGACCAUGGUUUAGCAUCUCAUGGUGGAAAAAUAUUGUUUUGGUGUAGGAUGAGCCCGCGGCCUAUCAGCUUGUUGGUGGGGUAAUGGCCUACCAAGGCGUCGACGGGUAGCCGGCCUGAGAGGGUGGACGGCCACAUUGGGACUGAGAUACGGCCCAGACUCCUACGGGAGGCAGCAGUGGGGAAUAUUGCACAAUGGGCGCAAGCCUGAUGCAGCGACGCCGCGUGGGGGAUGACGGCCUUCGGGUUGUAAACUCCUUUCGUUAGGGACGAAGCCGCACUUUUUUUGGGUGUGGUGACGGUACCUUUGUUAAGAAGCACCGGCUAACUACGUGCCAGCAGCCGCGGUAAUACGUAGGGUGCGAGCGUUGUCCGGAAUUACUGGGCGUAAAGAGCUCGUAGGUGGUUUGUUGCGUCGUCUGUGAAAUUCCGGGGCUUAACUUCGGGGUGGCAGGCGAUACGGGCAUAACUAGAGUGCUGUAGGGGAGACUGGAAUUCCUGGUGUAGCGGUGGAAUGCGCAGAUAUCAGGAGGAACACCGAUGGCGAAGGCAGGUCUCUGGGCAGUAACUGACGCUGAGGAGCGAAAGCAUGGGGAGCGAACAGGAUUAGAUACCCUGGUAGUCCAUGCUGUAAACGGUGGGCGUUAGGUGUGGGGACUGUUUUUGGUUUCUGUGCCGUAGCUAACGCAUUAAGCG
rnacentral:rRNA from 1 species